GGUUAAGCGACUAAGCGUACACGGUGGAUGCCCUGGCAGUCAGAGGCGAUGAAGGGCGUGCUAAUCUGCGAUAAGCGCCGGUAAGGUGAUAUGAACCGUUAUAACCGGCGAUACCCGAAUGGGGAAACCCAGUGUGUUUCGACACACUAUCAUUAACUGAAUCCAUAGGUUAAUGAGGCGAACCGGGGGAACUGAAACAUCUAAGUACCCCGAGGAAAAGAAAUCAACCGAGAUUCCCCCAGUAGCGGCGAGCGAACGGGGAGGAGCCCAGAGCCUGAAUCAGCAUGUGUGUUAGUGGAAGCGUCUGGAAAGGCGCGCGAUACAGGGUGACAGCCCCGUACACAAAAGCGCAUGUGCUGUGAGCUCGAUGAGUAGGGCGGGACACGUGGUAUCCUGUCUGAAUAUGGGGGGACCAUCCUCCAAGGCUAAAUACUCCUGACUGACCGAUAGUGAACCAGUACCGUGAGGGAAAGGCGAAAAGAACCCCGGCGAGGGGAGUGAAAAAGAACCUGAAACCGUGUACGUACAAGCAGUGGGAGCCCCACCACUAAGCCAGUGGUGAACUCCACAUACGCAUCCUUUGCUGAGGAUACGGUUAACGGAGCGAAAGCGACGUUCAACCUCAAAAGAAGCAGAGGGGGCUUAGUGGUGGGGUGACUGCGUACCUUUUGUAUAAUGGGUCAGCGACUUAUAUUCUGUAGCAAGGUUAACCGAAUAGGGGAGCCGGAGGGAAACCGAGUCUUA
rnacentral:rRNA from 1 species